AGAGUUUGAUCAUGGCUCAGGACGAACGCUGGCGGCGUGCUUAACACAUGCAAGUCGAACGGUAAGGCCCUUUCGGGGGUACACGAGUGGCGAACGGGUGAGUAACACGUGGGUGAUCUGCCCUGCACUUUGGGAUAAGCCUGGGAAACUGGGUCUAAUACCGAAUAUUCCUUGCUGGUCGCAUGGCCUGGUGGGGGAAAGCUUUUGCGGUGUGGGAUGGGCCCGCGGCCUAUCAGCUUGUUGGUGGGGUGAUGGCCUACCAAGGCGACGACGGGUAGCCGGCCUGAGAGGGUGUCCGGCCACACUGGGACUGAGAUACGGCCCAGACUCCUACGGGAGGCAGCAGUGGGGAAUAUUGCACAAUGGGCGCAAGCCUGAUGCAGCGACGCCGCGUGAGGGAUGACGGCCUUCGGGUUGUAAACCUCUUUCAGUACAGACGAAGCGCAAGUGACGGUAUGUACAGAAGAAGCACCGGCCAACUACGUGCCAGCAGCCGCGGUAAUACGUAGGGUGCGAGCGUUGUCCGGAAUUACUGGGCGUAAAGAGCUCGUAGGUGGUUUGUCGCGUUGUUCGUGAAAACCGGGGGCUUAACCCUCGGCGUGCGGGCGAUACGGGCAGACUUGAGUACUGCAGGGGAGACUGGAAUUCCUGGUGUAGCGGUGGAAUGCGCGAUAUCAGGAGGAACACCGGUGGCGAAGGCGGGUCUCUGGGCAGUAACUGACGCUGAGGAGCGAAAGCGUGGGGAGCGAACAGGAUUAGAUACCCUAGUAGUCC
rnacentral:rRNA from 1 species